rnacentral:rRNA from 1 species
ACGCUUUUUCUUUCACCGGAGCUUGCUCCACCGAAAGAAAAAGAGUGGCGAACGGGUGAGUAACACGUGGGUAACCUGCCCAUCAGAAGGGGAUAACACUUGGAAACAGGUGCUAAUACCGUAUAACAAGUAAAACCGCAUGGUUUUACUUUGAAAGGCGCUUUUGCGUCACUGAUGGAUGGACCCGCGGUGCAUUAGCUAGUUGGUGAGGUAACGGCUCACCAAGGCAACGAUGCAUAGCCGACCUGAGAGGGUGAUCGGCCACAUUGGGACUGAGACACGGCCCAAACUCCUACGGGAGGCAGCAGUAGGGAAUCUUCGGCAAUGGACGAAAGUCUGACCGAGCAACGCCGCGUGAGUGAAGAAGGUUUUCGGAUCGUAAAACUCUGUUGUUAGAGAAGAACAAGGAUGAGAGUAAAAUGUUCAUCCCUUGACGGUAUCUAACCAGAAAGCCACGGCUAACUACGUGCCAGCAGCCGCGGUAAUACGUAGGUGGCAAGCGUUGUCCGGAUUUAUUGGGCGUAAAGCGAGCGCAGGCGGUUUCUUAAGUCUGAUGUGAAAGCCCCCGGCUCAACCGGGGAGGGUCAUUGGAAACUGGGAAACUUGAGUGCAGAAGAGGAGAGUGGAAUUCCAUGUGUAGCGGUGAAAUGCGUAGAUAUAUGGAGGAACACCAGUGGCGAAGGCGGCUCUCUGGUCUGUAACUGACGCUGAGGCUC